rnacentral:rRNA from 1 species
AAAUAGGUGCUAAUACCGCAUAAGCGCACGGAGUCGCAUGACUUUGUGUGAAAAACUGAGGUGGUAUAUGAUGGACCCGCGUCUGAUUAGCUUGUUGGUGAGGUAACGGCCCACCAAGGCGACGAUCAGUAGCCGGCCUGAGAGGGUGGACGGCCACAUUGGGACUGAGACACGGCCCAAACUCCUACGGGAGGCAGCAGUGGGGAAUAUUGCACAAUGGGGGAAACCCUGAUGCAGCGACGCCGCGUGAGCGAAGAAGUAUUUCGGUAUGUAAAGCUCUAUCAGCAAGGAAGAAAAUGACGGUACCUGACUAAGAAGCCCCGGCUAACUACGUGCCAGCAGCCGCGGUAAUACGUAGGGGGCAAGCGUUAUCCGGAAUUACUGGGUGUAAAGGGAGCGUAGACGGUGAAGUAAGUCUGGAGUGAAAGGCGGGGGCCCAACCCCCGGACUGCUCUGGAAACUAUUUGACUGGAGUGCAGGAGAGGUAAGCGGAAUUCCUAGUGUAGCGGUGAAAUGCGUAGAUAUUAGGAGGAACACCAGUGGCGAAGGCGGUCUGCUGGACAGCAACUGACGCUGAGGCGCGAAAGCGUGGGGAGCAAACAGGAUUAGAUACCCUGGUAGUCCACGCAGUAAACGAUGAAUGCUGGCUGUCCGGGGGGACUGACCCCUGGGUGGCGAAGCGAAAGCGAUAAGCAUUCCACCUGGGGAGUACGCCGGCAACGGUGAAACUCAAAGGAAUUGACGGGGGCCCGCACAAGCGGAGGAACAUGUGGUUUAAUUCGAUGAUACGCGAGGAACCUUACCCGGGCUCAAACGGGGAGUGACUCAGGCAGAGACGCCUGUUUCCCACGGGACACUCCCCGAGGUGCUGCAUGGUUGUCGUCAGCUCGUGCCGUGAGGUGUCGGCUUAAGUGCCAUAACGAGCGCAACCCACAUCGGUAGUUGCUAACAGUUUUCGCUGAGGACUCUACCGAGACUGCCGUCGUAAGGCGCGAGGAAGGUGUGGAUGACGUCAAAUCAGCACGGCCCUUACAUCCGGGGCGACACACGUGUUACAAUGG